GGCUUGAGGACCGUAUUCAUGGAAGAGGAUCGAACAGAAGACUACUGAGUUCUUAUGAGAAAAAUGGCUCUUAAGAAAUUGAAGGUGAUACCAAAGGAAGGUUACUUAUUACUUUUGGACUUUGAUGAUGAGAACGAUGAUAUAAAAGUUUCAGAGGAGGCUCUUUCGGAAGAGAUGAAGUAGACAGUAUGUUGGAUAAAUCUGAAGUAAACAACCCAGCAAUUGAUAAAGAUGAAAAUAUAUCGCCUCAAGUAAAAGGACAUGAAGACAGGGGACAUGAAAUAGGCAGUAUGUUGGAUAAAUCUGGAGGUCUCUGCUAAGAAAAACUGAGAACUUCACUGAAGAACAUCAACAACAAAUUUUGUGAGCAGUAUAUAACUACAUUUCAGAAGUCUUAUAUGGAUGUACAGAAAUUCAAUGAGGAAAAAGAAAAAUCAGUGAAUAGUUGUCAAAAAGAACAACAAGCAUUGAAACUGUCCAAAUGUAGUCAGAACCAGACCCUGGAAGCAGGUAAAGAAAUGCAUGAGAAGUCCAUGGAGCUGCAUCAUUGGACUCAAACUGAAUGGUCCAUGUGUUGCCACUGAUGUGAGCCAUUUGCAAGCC
rnacentral:precursor_RNA from 1 species